AUGACUGAUUUCUUUUGGUGUUCAGAGUCAAUACAAUUUUCUAGCACCAUCUGAAAUCGGUUAU
rnacentral:pre_miRNA from 1 species